rnacentral:rRNA from 1 species
UACAGAGGUCUCAAGCGUUGUUCGGAUUCAUUGGGCGUAAAGGGUGUGUAGGUGGCGCCGUAAGUCGGGUGUGAAAUUUCGGAGCUUAACUCCGAAACUGCAUUCGAUACUGCCGUGCUUGAGGACUGGAGAGGAGACUGGAAUUUACGGUGUAGCGGUGAAAUGCGUAGAUAUCGUAAGGAAGACCAGUGGCGAAGGCAGGUCUCUGGACAGUUCCUGACGCUGAGGCACGAAGGUCAGGGGAGCAAACGGG